rnacentral:lncRNA from 1 species
GGUACAAUAACUUAGGUGAAUUGAAUGGAGAGAAGACAAUUCGUAGAUGGUUUAGAAAAAAAAAAGUUGAGAAUAAGCAGAGAUAUACACUUGGUUAUACCUCAAUCUAUUUCUCAUGGAUCAGGAAAGUCAACUCUGCAGGGAUUACCACCAGACCAAAUAAUGGAGACAGAAUAAGAAAAUAUUAACAGAAAAAUAUAGUGUCAAAACCCCUAAAUUCCUCAUGCACAAAAGAUAAAUUAGUAUAGGUGAGAAAAUAACUUCCCUCCAAAUAAGUUUACUAGCCCUUGAUCCGAGAAUGGAGAGGUAAGUUGAACCACCUUCACUGAAGGCCCUAGUAAUAUAGGAAAUUAUAAGACAGAGCAGAUCUACCAUCCAGAGAUCUCUCACUCAAUUCAAGGAAACAACAGAAAACAAGUAGGGAAAGAGAGAGCUCCUCCAAAAUCUUUUCGCCCAGAAUAGCACAGUAACAAACAUGAUAACAAUGCUUUGAUCCAAGCUAUCCUAAAAUGAAGACGAGAGAAGCCAUUACCAACAAACACCAGUGAUCUCACGGCAAACAGAACAAACAAGAGAACUCCUGAUUUACCACAUCCAUCCAAGAGAAGAGAGCACUUUUUGCCCAUGCAGAACUCCACCAUUCUAAGACAACCACACCAAAAGAACCAGAAAAGAAGAGACAAUCUUAGAAAAAGAAAAGAACAAGUACCAUUCAUGAAGUACACAACAUACUGCAAAAGUGCAAGAAAGUGCAGGCCUUCAUGAUCAAUUCUUAAUCAACACCACAGAGAAACUUCUGGAAGCCCAGAGCCACCACCUAUAGCAACAUCACCUAAAGCAAACAAAAAACACCACCUGGAGGUCCAGGUAAAAGCUCCAGAUUUUCAUUACAUUCAGACCCAUCCAAUUUAUUCACGAAGAGACACAUCCCAGAGACCUCCCUUUGACUGCGGAAAGCAACACAAAAAGCCAACAAAAAUUCAAAAUUCGACACAGAUGAGAACUGACAAUGGAAUGAACCAAUAACACCAGCUUUUUACAAAUUUAGAUUACCUACCAUAACCCCAAACCUAUUCAUAUAACAAGCAUAAACUUCAGAUCAUGAUGAACCACCAAAACACCAGAACCUACCUUAAAACAUGUUUAGUGGCAGAAUUUCAGCACUAAGAAAUACUUCAGAAGAUCAAAAUCGCCAAACUGGUAAGAUCCUAAGCAUCUGAGAACCAUUCCCCAGAGAUAAAGAAGGCAUGGGAUAAGCAGCAAAAUGGGUGCAUGUGAAUUGAAUGGGCAGGUCGAAGGUGUUCAACCAUUAAUCGCUGGGAUUAAGCAGUGAUACCUUUUCCUUGAGGAUCAGGAACACAAGACUUCCAAGCAAUUACUGACAAAACAAUAAUGCAUAACAUUUCUACAAACAUGGUGGACUAUGGAAGAAAAGAUUUACAAAAAAACUAGAUUAUAUUUAUAAUAGUCUGCAGACAUCAAAAAGUACUAAAACCUGUAAAAUGCUCAAGCCAAAAAAAUAAAGAAUGAUAAGCAUAGUAAGAAGAUAAAUCCCCCUCUAUAAUAAUGUACUAGCCUUUGAUCUUGAGGACAGAGACCUAAGUUUUGGCCACACCUCUGAAUCACCAGAAUCCUAGAUUCGACACAAAAUGAUAUGGUAAAUUAGAGAACAAGUAGAGAAAAUCAUUUUUAAAGAAACAGCAAAAAAAAGAGCAGGGAAAGAGAGAGCUUAUCCAAAAUCUUGUUACAAAACCCAUUAGCAGGGUACCAAACACACCAACACUCCUGCAACAAGCUUCCCUAAAAUCAACACAACAGACAGAAGGCAUCACCAACCGCCACCUUGAUUUUUUCAGGCAGAGGGAACAAAGAAAGACCAGGUUGAAAAGAUAUCCCGAUUUUAUUCACAUCCAUCCAAGAGAAAACUCUCGCCUCCACACACCAGAAAUCCACUAUUCUUGAAAGACAUCAAAAAAACCAGAAGACAAGACAAAUCUUGAAAAAUCACCAAGAACAAAACACAGUAAUUAGCGUCAAGUCCUUUUACCAAUCCACUCUAUAGGGAGACUGCUGAAAAACCAGAACUGCUGCCUACAGCAAUGCAAAAAUAAAGCAGAAAGCAAAAUCAAGGAUCACAUUCACAUCCAUUGCAUAAUUCCACGAAGAAUCACAUCCCAUAAUUCUAAAAAAAUGGCAUCCAAAAGCCCAUGUUCCGUCACCACCCUCAAUAAAGGAAUGGAUCAAAAGACUUGGCACAAAGACAAGAAUAAUCCUCAAAUAAAAACUCUGAACAAGUUAUCAUUCAAUCAAACCAAUAUGCAUAGCCUUAACUCUUCUUCAGAUCAAGUUGCAUAAGCAAAAUACCAGGAACCCCAACCAUACAAAAGUUUGAUGACGGAAUCUACUUCCUGUUAUAUACUGAGCAGCACAUAACCAUCCCCAAAGAAAAGCGCUGGAUUAAGCUAGUCCAUCAAAUACAAAAGCCAAAAAAAAUGCUAACCUUCGGUGAUUGAAUGGGUAGGUUGAAAGCAUUCAUACAGUUUUUCCAGAAAUAAAUGGUUGAAUAGCAAAGAUAUGCACUUGGUUACAACCCGUUCUAUUCAGAGUGGAUCAGGAAAGUUGACUCUGCAUGACAUGCUGCAGACCAAAAAGAUUCACGGACAAAUUAUAUUAUAAAUAUGGUGUCCAACCCCCUAAAUUCCUCAAGCACAAAAGAACAAUUAGCGUAGGUGAGAAAUUAACUCCCUCCAAAAAAUUUUACAAGCCCUUGAUCCGAGGAUGGAAAGGCAAGUUUGAAUCACAAAUCACUGGAACCCAAAGUUGCAACACCCUAGUAAUAUAGGAAAUUAGAGAACAAGCAGAGCAAAUCCACAAAUGUCCUAAUCAACUUCAACAAAACAGCAGAAAACAACCAGGGAAAUAGAGGUCCUCCAAAAUCUUGUUAAGCCCGAAUAGCAGGGUAACAAACAUGAUGAA